UAGCUCAGUGGUUUGAGCGUUGGCCUAUUAAGCCUAGGGUUCUAAGUUCAACCCUUAA
rnacentral:tRNA from 1 species